rnacentral:lncRNA from 1 species
GUCCCGUCAGAAACCUUCGCUGGACACAAACGGGCUCCACUGCUGCAGCCGGAAAGCGAGAUGUCCCAGCCGUGGCACGGGAAACCGGUCACCCCUAGUGUCGCGUCAGCUUCCCGGGAACCGGGCACUCAGCCCAGCCAAGGCCCGGUCCCCUGUGAGCGCUCAGCCCCCGCGUGACCCAGAGCACCCGGGACGGCUCAUGCGGGCAAAACGCGAAGGCCGUGUGGUGGAGGGCCACCGGCGUCGCCGUGGACGGCCACCGGACACCUGACCAGCGAAUGCAACGUCCCAGAAGAUGCAGAGGUUAAAAAGCACAAAUAAUUUAAUAGCGCCACACAGGACCUCCACCAAACCGGCGGCACAGGGGACCCCGGCCCGCGGAGCCUCAGCGGAUGACGGUGACGUGGGGCGGAGCGGCGGUCUUGGGGUCCGAGCGCUGGCCCGGGCUGCCGUCGGCCUCGGCGUCCGACAGCGAGCCUUCCUCCUCGGUCUCCAGUGUGUACUUGUUCAACUCCGCCAUUUUCUGCAAGCGGAACGGGACUUCUCAGUCUGGGGCAGCGGCCCGGGGGCCGGGCGGCAGGCGCAGGCGCAGGCCCUCACUCACCAGGACCAGGGCGUCCAUGACGUCUUUACAGAUCUGCAGGCUGGUGGCACUGGUGACUUCCAGAAACAAAUCAGACGUCGUCUUCUUAAUCUGUGGAAACCCAAGGAACGUUUCUGAGGGGAGUGACGUCAUCGCACGCGGACAGCAGCAGCUCCGCGCUGACUCAGAGGUAACCUGGAAAGCCAUCUCCUCCCCAGGCAGGCUCGGCUGCUCCCGGCUCGGCCGUGGCCCCCGCACCUCGCGCGGACAGGACACGUGCGGGCUGUUCUCCAGGGAGAGGCGCAGGGGACGGGUGGGCCGACCCUACCUUUGUCUUCUCGCUGUUGGUGAUCGGGGGGAAGGAGAUGGUGUCCCCCGCGGCGUCCACCAGGCAGGGGUAGCUGUCUUUCCCAUCCAGCAGGUGCAGGUACCUGUGCGGGGGCAGCGCCUGCCUGAGGGUCGGAGCGGACAAACCGCAACCUGCCUCGGACGGCGGGCCAGGGGCACGCGCUCCUCACGCUCCCGAGGCCUGCACCCAGCCCGCGUGUGUCCCUGAGCGGUGCCCGAUCGGAGCAGGUCCGGGAUCCGCACUGGCUGACGGCGCCCAGCGGCGCGGGGCCUGGAUAAAGUGCGUGGGUUUGGCUGGCAUCUUGUGCUCGGCUGCUAUUGGCUGGAACAGCCCUGCCCCGUCCAGGGGCCACCCCGAAGAGGGCUGCACGCCCCCACACGUGCGGGGCCACCUAGGGCAGACGGGACCCCCGCCCCGCCCCGCCCCGCCGGGAGCCGCGGCUUUGCUCAGGGCACCUGUGCAGGCCGGAGACACCCUGCCGCUUGCGCUGCUUCCGCUGCUCGUCCGCCUCCAGCUGCAGCUGCCGCACCAGCUCCUUGGCCUUGGCCUCCCUCCGCCCCAAGGGGACGAUCUGUCAGGUGGAAACGCGGGACGGCCGUCGUGGUCACAACCACACACGCCAGGGCUCGCUCCCCUCCCCUCCCUCACCGGCAGAGGGGGGACGGGGCGGUCCAGCCCAACGAGGGGCUCGGCCCCCGAGGGCCUCACCACAGGGCGCUGCCCAGGCACGG